UUUUCCGAUAAUCCGUCUGUACGUUCUAUACUUUCACACAGCGGAUCUACUUUAAGCAUCUUCCUCUUCUGGUGGUUUCUCAUGACUUCCUGUUUGAAGAAACUGAUCAAUGUCCAACGUGAAUUUCUCUUCUCAGUGGACAAAUGGAGUGUUUGAUGAAGAAUAGAGGUCAUCUAGGAGCAAUUCAUACACAAAAGGCUCAAUUCCCAAUUAAUUAUUUAGGCAGAACCAGAGGUGUCAAACUCAAUCGGGAUGAGGACCAACUUGAUGAAUUAGGAACGGACCCAAAGAUGGCGGCGUCAUGGCAACUGAGCUGCAAAUGCAGAUAUUUUGGCUUUUCAUAGGCUUAGUCGGCAUGAAUCUGUCACCGAAGUGCAGCACAGACUUUGUUUUUAAGUCACUUGAUUCGCCGUCGGUUGGGUCCGAAGACUUCAAAUAAGAAAUCGAUAAAAAUGAAAUAACAACCUGUGUGGAGUGUGAAAGAAGCGAGACGUCUGUCCCUCGCCGCUCAUCUGCAGCCCAGAGUCUCCGACCGCGUCGGCCUACGUUUUUUGGGGAGACAGCGAGAGCAGGAGGAGGAGGAGGAGGAGAUUGGAGGAGGAAGAUAUGUGAGGGGAGCGAAAAAAGGGAAAGUGAGAAGAACUGCAGGAAGAGAGUGUUUCGAAAUUAUACAAGAGAAUAAUUCUGAUGAUUUUAUUUUGACUUUCAGUUCGUUUAGAUAAAUGAAAAGGAG
ensembl:lncRNA